CAGCUCUACCAGCUGAGACGGGUACAGUCUGGUUCUCUUCCUCCAUUUUUGCUGGGUUGCCGUCCUCACCUGGGAGUGCACAUCAGGAUGGUCCAGCUGCUUGCAUUGUGGGAAGAGAUCUAAGAGACUCAAGAUUCUUUCUCUUCUUUCUUCCUGCCUUGAAGUUGUAACGGCCCUUCAUCUUUUGCUAUCUCAAAUGCCCCACACAGAACCUCCAAAACCUCCCAUCAGUACAAAGGAACCCAACAAAGUCUAAGGUGAUUAGAAGGAAAAUGGAUACAAUAGCAGCUUUAUGGUGAGGUCCAGGUGGAGAGGAAUUGAAGCCACCUGCCAACAGCAAUGUAAGUGAGCCAUCUUGGAAGAGCAUCCUGCAGGCACAGCCUUGCCUUCAGAUGACUUCAGCCCACCCUGUCUGCCAUCCGGAUUGUAGACUCAUGAGAAACCCCGAGAGAGAACUAUUCAGCUAAGCCAUUCCCAGAUUCGUGAUUCCCAGAAACUGUGUAUGGUAAUAAAUAUUUAUUGUUU
rnacentral:lncRNA from 1 species